AACUUCUCAAUGAACUAAAGUUGUAGAAUCAGCCGACUGAAAGCUACGGCUGAGCGAUUACUGGAGUUCAGAAUACUAUU
rnacentral:pre_miRNA from 1 species